CUUACCAUGCAGUCGAGCGAUGAAGCCCCUUCGGGAGUGGAUUAGCGGCGGACGGGUGAGUAACACGUGGGUAACCUGCCUCAAAGAGGGGGAUAGCCUCCCGAAAGGGAGAUUAAUACCGCAUAACAAGUAACUUCCGCAUGGAAGUAACUUUAAAGGAGAAAUCCGCUUUGAGAUGGACCCGCGGCGCAUUAGCUAGUUGGUAGGGUAACGGCCUACCAAGGCAACGAUGCGUAGCCGACCUGAGAGGGUGAUCGGCCACAUUGGAACUGAGAGACGGUCCAGACUCCUACGGGAGGCAGCAGUGGGGAAUAUUGCACAAUGGGCGGAAGCCUGAUGCAGCAACGCCGCGUGAGUGAAGAAGGUUUUCGGAUUGUAAAGCUCUGUCUUUGGGGACGAUAAUGACGGUACCCAAGGAGGAAGCCACGGCUAACUACGUGCCAGCAGCCGCGGUAAUACGUAGGUGGCAAGCGUUGUCCGGAAUUACUGGGCGUAAAGAGUGCGUAGGCGGAUACUUAAGUGAGAUGUGAAAUACCCGGGCUUAACCCGGGCACUGCAUUUCAAACUGGAUAUCCAGAGUGCAGGAGAGGAGAACGGAAUUCCUAGUGUAGCGGUGAAAUGCGUAGAUAUUAGGAAGAACACCAGUGGCGAAGGCGGUUCUCUGGACUGUAACUGACGCUGAGGCACGAAAGCGUGGGUAGCAAACAGGAUUAGAUACCCUGGUAGUCCACGCCGUAAAC
rnacentral:rRNA from 1 species